GGGAAUCGAACCCUGAUCACCUGGAUCCUAGGCCGCGAGUAAAUCCAGGCCCUGGACCCCGGGGCCCACCCCUUACUGUCUACCACGCCACGUGCUCUUCGUGCCGCUGAUAUUUCCGGUCCAGUCUUAUAAAUACAAACCUAGGCAUGUAUGUUUUUAUUCUGGAGAUUAAAGCCAAAACUGAGGCUCAGAGGGAAGAUGUUUACUUAAGGUUAUAUAUAAUCUAACCAUCAGAUCCAGGGACAUGGUAAUAUACUUAAUGUACUUCUCAAAGUGCCAGCCAUUCACCCGACUUACACAGAACAUUAAAAUGGAAAUUUUCCUAAUAAGAGAACCCCCCCCCCCUUCCAAUUAACAGGGAGGGAGGAAAGAAGAAAGUCAAAAUACUCUAUGGACUAAAGAAUUAGAGAAGGCAAAAUCAUGGUUUUAGAUGUUCAUGAAUUUUAAACGUGUGACUUUUAAAAUCUGCUUUCUAAGUCUUACCCUAUUUAGUCUUACCCUAAGUCUCACAGUGGUUAAGUAAUAGUAGCCUAAGGGGGUGGCUUAAAAAUAAGACACGCUAAGGAAAGUGCAUGUUCUCUUCAGAGAAUUCAUGUAUGAAAUGUUCCUUUCCUGUGGGGGAAAAAAAUCUAAAGCUAUUACAUGUCCCAGAUCUCUAACAGCACAUUUAAUACAUGACUUUAGCAGCAUAAUAAUUAAGUAAAUCAGCAAACAUGAAUUUAACUUAUAUUCCCUUUUAAGGUUAAAAACCUAACACUUUUAAAAAUAUUUCUCUUUGCAACUUUCAAAUAUAUAAUUAUUAUUAACUAUAGUUGCCACAUUGUACAUUACAUCCCCAGGACUUACUUUGUAACUGGAAGUUUGUAUCUCUGACCACCCCUCCUAACGUUUUAACCACGACAACACUUACAGUGCUUGGGGGCUCUCCUGUCUCUGAGGUGUCAGUAUGGUAGUUUGAGAAAACCCCAAGAUUUGUUUACAUUUACAAGCUGUGGUUUUCUUUCUAAAUUGAAUGUAUUUCGGUGUCAUUGGUUAAUAGGGUCAUAUAGGUUUCAAAUGUACAUUUCUAUGAUAAAUGAUCUGUUUGCUGCCCGA